GGCUUGUGGAGUAUUCUGCUCAAAAGUAGUGAUGCUGGUGAGCUCCUCUAGCUGUUGUUUGACUCCACCUGCUGGAAGGAACUAACUUAUCUUCUGCCUACCAAAGCCAUCAGCUAAAUCCAUCACUGACUUGAAUGGAAAAAAAAAAGACUGGACCUAUAAAGAUGAUCUGGGAUUGGCUCUUUAACCUGUUUAUUAGGAACCUUGUCUGAAAACAGAGUAUCUUAGUGGUCUGCAACUGUAUUAGCCAUAUAUUUUUAGUAGGCUUUGAAAAGAAAUCCAAGUAUCAAUACUUACUCCUUCCACCAUUAGAUACCACUUGUCUCUUCUGUUAAUACUGUGUAACAUGUAGUACAGUUGGCUUUAUCAGUUAACCAUUCAAUACUAUUCAUUACAAUAUUAACUCACUCAUAUACAUGUCCCAUUUUCCUUCCUGUAUUUUACUUAUCCUAAUAACUGCUUUUCACUUGAUAAUCUGUAGUUCAACAUGAAUAUUGAAUUCAAAAUAAAUCAGGUGUGAAGUAUGCAGUUAUGUGAGCCGUUGUGUGAAACUAACCACACUAACAGACUGUGAUUUGUUAACCAAAACUAUCCUACCUAACAGCAAACCAUGGAUUCUCUUUAUGAAUUGUUCAUGGUUAACAAGCCACAGUUUGUUAGUGUGGUUCACAAAACCACACUAAAACCCACAUUACAGCAAUAGCCCAU